ACGCUGCCCACCCCGGGUCCCAAUGUAACCACUGCUGCAACCCCGCCUGCAGCUCGAAGUUCUACAACCACCCAGAGCCCAAGGAGAUGAGCAAAACCUCCAACACCACCUCCAUCAGAAACAAUCGCUCCAGUGGUUCCACUGCCCGAUGAUACUUUGGCACAACGGUGUACAGCUCACCAAAUACACGGGUCCUCCUGGUACAGCAAGGUACUAUGGUGGUUUAAAAAUGGCUCUUAUGCUGUCAUGUAGCGGUCCAUGGAAUGGGAAACCAACACGUCCCAUGUUCCGGGUAUUUUGUGGUUCCGCCAUAUGGAUGAAGGGGGGCACGCUCAUGGAAUUGAAUAUACCAUAGCCGCAUAUCGCCAAACAGUCUGGGAAAGUCUGCAGGGCACAGCCCUAGUCAACCCAGAAAAACUGGCCAAACCCAUGGGGGGCACCGUGCCAGAAUCAUUUUUGCAAGAUACCCAUGCCAUAGUCGUACCUGGACAGUGUGCGUUCAAGUACGCAGAUGGAAAUUCACUCCAGCGAAUAAAUCAACCCCAUUGGGAAGUUUAACAAUCCCAGAAACAAGGAGGGAAAUGGUUAAGCACCUAAACAGGAGAACCCCUGUCCAUUUUUUGCAUUAAGUAGGGAUGCACGCUGCUAAUUCAAAAAGAGCCACCACAAGUGUAUUUGCUACCUCGCUUGUCUAAUGUCACCCCAUGGUGGAGAUCCAAGACCAGAGCUCCAGUUCUCCUUAAUGCCUCCUUGUUCAAUAUCUGUAUCACAUUUAACCCCAAGCAAUGGUUUGCCAGAACAGCAUUUCCUAACUGCUCUGCCAGCGCUCAGUUGGCAGAAAAUAUGCUGUGCUGGGCCUGGCCAACUGUUUUUCAACCCACAGAGCAGCCUCCAAUCGCCCGGAUAAAAAGGAUACCCUAGACCAUGUGUGGAACGGGCUUAAUUCAGCCAUGGGAGUUUGGGACAUAGAUAAAUCUCAGAAAAACACCCAAGGAAUAAUGGAUAUAUGACAAGCCAUAGGUUUUCUUACUAAAGGGAGUAUGAUUGAUAACAUCGCCCUAGAAUACGCUGAUGAAUUAGUAGCAACCAUUGGCCAAGAAGCAGCACAAAUAAGUUACCUGUUGAUGCAUGCAGCCUUUCAAGCUGAUGCUAAGCAAACUUAGAGCACUGCGUGUGCCCAAGUGCAGCUUUCACUUAAUUUUCACUUCUCCCAGGUAAUGAAAGAUCUCAAACACAAAGAAUAGCCUGCUGGCUUAGAAUGCCAUAGACUACCCUCAGUUUUAACCCAACAGUUAGUUUACCGAGACACGUGGAGCACAGAAUGGGAGGGGUGUAGCAAAGCAAAAUGCUUUUUUGUCGUACAUGGGGUAGCAAAUGGCACGUGGUCCACUGCCCAUCUCUUAACAAGAGGACUAGGGGGAGGAUGUAUGUGGGACUGGGACUUACAUUGUCCCAUUUGGGAAAUGAUAACCACAGAAGGCCCCAAGUAUUUAGCUCAAUCUCCGGAGUAGAUUGUAAAUGGCAUUUUAAUAGCUUGGGAAAUUUAUGGAGAGGGUGGCCCAAUAUUCCCCCUGACAUGGUUUGUGUAACACCCCUACCAGCAACUCCCUAUGUUACCCUAGCUCAGCGGGUUUGUUGGGAAAGUUCUGGCUGCUUGUACUAUCCCAACAGUACAUUUUGGACCUCCUGCACCAACUGUUGUGCAGAAGCUCAAGAUUUUCAAGGAGAAUCAGCUAUUUUAAAUGUCCAAGGCCAGGAAACUAUUUUAAUGUUGCCGAAAAUCCAAUUAGAAAGCAUCACCCUUAACCUAAGUCUUCCAAAAUCCUGGGUUAAGGAUGUAGACAUGCCCCAGCUAAAAGGAUGGGGUGAAGUAGUGGCCCACAUUAAAGGUUUGUUCGAAGAUGCCCAAAAGGAAAAACAAUUUGCCGUCAUGGCUCAAGAAGGAGGGCAAAUUAUUAAAUGUGCUACUAAUAUUCCCCCGCUGUGUAAGUGGUAUGAAGUAGUCUGUACUGUGCAAAUGAAUACCUUUACUAAAGGUGCUCCUUUUCCUUGGUUUGUAGCAGUAAUAAGUUUGGUUAUUGAAUUAAUAUUGUUCAAUAUAAUCUUUAAAUGUUGUUGUUAUACAAUUAAGUCUAAUACCCAUGCCAAAAUAAAUGUUGUUUCUGCCAACCAUGUAUACGCCACCUGGAAGAAAUCAUAUUUGUAAGCCUUACCAAAUGCUCCAAAGAAGCAAGGGGUGGAUUGUGAUGGCCAGAACCAAAGAAAUUAAUAAGCAAUAAACAUGUGCUUGUUGGAGGCAUUUGGAAUUUCUGUCUAGUAUAACUUGUAUUUUUGUAACCCGCAAAUGUAACUUGUAACUGUUUGUAGAACUGACUAGGCCUCAAAGACAAAGCUAUAGCUGUGAAAUUAGCUGACCUAAUAGUUCUUUCUUGCUCAGAAUUUAGCCUUGAUGAUGAUAAAAACUGGAUUCAACUGCCUAGCUUACCCAGCACAUUCCAGGAAAGCACAUCUCAAAGAAGCAUAGCCAGAGAGUUCUAAGGGGUUGGAUUUAGGCGGGGUAAUGUUAAUUUCAAACCUGAAGAUGCUGUGUUGCAAUUUGCUUAUUGGAUAAACCCAAGUCUGGGUAGUAACCUUUUAUAAUAAUUUUAACACUUUUUAAUCCCAUAGGGUAGUAGCUAUAAAACAAGAUUGUGAAUGGCCCUAAAACCAGCAGAUUAGCAUAAGACUAGGUAUAAAAAGCGCGUGCAUCAGGUGACCAACAGGAAGGAGGGAACAGGAUGGAAACUGUUGUUUUAAGUGUGGACUCUGGAUUCCCACUGUGAGUGAGGAUUGGAUCCUGAUCAAGGGAUCUUCUCCGGUAAUCCUUCAGGAAGCAUCUAUCGGGGAUGCCUGACUUCGCUGGAAUCACCUGGCGUGCACCUGGCAUUGAGGGAUUAUCGAUAAAUUGCCAACCCAUGUGUGUCUAUUUGUUGUUUUAAACAGCCAGUGGCUGAUACCCUCACAGUGCCUAGCUGGCUUGCAGCAGACUGAUCUAUUUAUCUGUUGUUAUUAUCUGUUAUUAUUUACUAUUAGCUCUUUAAUAUUGCAUUAUUUGCUUAUUGCAUUUAUCUUUUUGUUAACUGUUGUGUGUGUGUAAGCUUUAAUAAAUUUGCCAUUGUUUUACUCCCAACUCUGCCUCCUCGAUCCCGAACCAAACAGCCGAGUGACUAAAUUGAUAUACUCACAGUGCCUAGCUGGCCUGACACACAUGUCACUGGCACUGGCAUCACCCCCUGAGUGCAGCAGGACCAGACUGAGAAGGAGCAGAAGCAGCAGGAGAAAAAGGUGUCCCAGUAGCUGAGGCACACAAAUGAGGUAUGGCACCAGGUCUGAGAGCACCAGUAGAAGCUGGUGCAGAAUCAAGUUGCCAUCUUCAAGGAGGGCAAGUGGCUAGAGAAGGAGGCACACUGGCACAGUGAGUGCAUCACCAAGGUCAGGAGGCAAAGGAUGGAAGAGCUCAGGUAAGUGGGUGGGGACCAUGUGGGAGGCCUGGACCAUGGGUGUUUUGAGGGAUGCAAGUCAUGGGGCACUGCCCAGCAGCAUCUGGCACAACUUGUGCUGUCUCUUCCUUUGCUGCUCCUUCAUCAGGUCCUGGGGCAGGCUGAGGCCCUGAGGCUUGCAGGGUGGGGAUGGAGUGGGGCAGUGGGCCAAGGCAGUGAGCUUGUGGGGGCAUAGCACCUGGAGCAGGGCUUUCCAGGCCAGAGGUGGGAGCUGGUUAGAAGGGCUGGAGCUGUUCACUUUACCAUGUGCUGCCUUGAGCUGCCCUUUCUGCCCAAGCUGCUCUGAGUGUGGCCUGCAUUUGUGCCCUAGGUAUGAGUGUGUGUGCAGAUGUGUCUGGCAGUGUGUUUGCACUAGUGCAAAGUGCAUGUACAUGCAAAUGGUGGUGGCAUUGAGUUGCUUGCAAGCUUGUUAAGGUGGCCAAUGUGCAUGUACACAUGCAUGUUCAUUGGGUACUAACUUCCAUGUGUGUGUGUCAGGGAUGACAUAGUGCAGCCAGUGCACCUCCUGGGCAAUCUCCCAAGAGGCUGCUGUCUGCCCUCUGCCCUUAAGCCUCCUUAGUUCUCUCCUCCAUCCCACAGAAGUUCCAGUUGGGCAGGGAGAUCAGGAGCUACAAUGUACAUAUGAAGCAGCUGGAGGAGAUCAUUGAGCGGAGGGAACAGCACCAAGACCGGCAGGAGUGGGACGAGGGGCUGCCCUGAAACAGGGCCUGGACAGAAGCCCUCAGAGCAGGCUCCAGGUGGAGGCUCCAGGGAGGAGAGCUGUGGCCCAGAGGAACCCAGAGCCCUGUACACCCCAGCAGGCCUGGGGAGACUGAUAAAUUGGCUACAUCCUGGCCUGAAACCCUUUGCAUCCCAAGCUCUCAUCCUCGAGAGGGCUGGGCCCAGAGCAACCCCAAAUAUGUCUAUGUGGGGAAUGACCCUGUUAUGAAAGCCUGCAUGGCCAUCACAGGACCAAGGCAAGUGAUCUGGCAGCACCAUGGUAGCACCAGGAAGAUCCUGCUGGACUCUCUCCUCCCUGGCCUGGAGCACACCCCCUGCCAGCACCAAGCAGGUGACAUCUUGCUCCAUCUGAAAGCUGACUCCACCAACCAGAGGGACCUCCCACACUCCUUUCCCAGUCAUCCACAGCGAUUCCAAAGGAUGCUAAGUCAUCAUUGCAAGCAUCCCAAAAUCUGCACAGCAGUCUGCCUCUCUUUCUAGACCCUUUAUGAGCUUCACAGGACAGCACAUUCUUUGUGUCCCCUGAUCCAGCAUUUGCUUUACAUGGCUGAGCCACCCAAGUCUUUUCUUAAUCAACAUUCCCAUGGAUGACAUACCUGCAUGAUUAAACACUUGCUCAUUUGUCA